GAUAGUUGAUCCUGGCUCAGGAUGAACGCUGGCGACGUGCUUAACACAUGCAAGUCGAACGGUGAACGAGGGAGCUUGCUCCCUCCGGAUCAGUGGCGAACGGGUGAGUAACACGUGAGCAAUCUGCCCUGGACUCUGGGAUAAGCGUUGGAAACGACGUCUAAUACCGGAUACGAGGCGUGGGGGCAUCCCCAACGCCUGGAAAGAACUUCGGUCCAGGAUGAGCUCGCGGCCUAUCAGGUAGUUGGUGAGGUAACGGCUCACCAAGCCUACGACGGGUAGCCGGCCUGAGAGGGUGACCGGCCACACUGGGAUUGAGACACGGCCCAGACUCCUACGGGAGGCAGCAGUGGGGAAUAUUGCACAAUGGGCGCAAGCCUGAUGCAGCAACGCCGCGUGAGGGACGACGGCCUUCGGGUUGUAAACCUCUUUUAGCAGGGAAGAAGCGAAAGUGACGGUACCUGCAGAAAAAGCACCGGCUAACUACGUGCCAGCAGCCGCGGUAAUACGUAGGGUGCAAGCGUUAUCCGGAAUUAUUGGGCGUAAAGAGCUCGUAGGCGGUUUGUCGCGUCUGCUGUGAAAACCCGAGGCUCAACCUCGGGCCUGCAGUGGGUACGGGCAAACUAGAGUGCGGUAGGGGAGAUUGGAAUUCCUGGUGUAGCGGUGGAAUGCGCAGAUAUCAGGAGGAACACCGAUGGCGAAGGCAGAUCUCUGGGCCGUAACUGACGCUGAGGAGCGAAAGCGUGGGGAGCGAACAGGAUUAGAUACCCUGGUAGUCCACGCCGUAAACGUUGGGCGCUAGAUGUGGGGACCAUUCCACGGUUUCCGUGUCGCAGCUAACGCAUAAGCGC
rnacentral:rRNA from 1 species